rnacentral:rRNA from 1 species
GACGAACGCUGGCGGCGUGCCUAACACAUGCAAGUCGAGCGAAUGAAGUUCCUUCGGGAACGGAUUUAGCGGCGGACGGGUGAGUAACACGUGGGCAACCUGCCUCAUAGAGGGGAAUAGCCUUCCGAAAGGAAGAUUAAUACCGCAUAAGAUUGUAGCUUCGCAUGAAGCAGCAAUUAAAGGAGCAAUCCGCUAUGAGAUGGGCCCGCGGCGCAUUAGCUAGUUGGUGAGGUAACGGCUCACCAAGGCGACGAUGCGUAGCCGACCUGAGAGGGUGAUCGGCCACAUUGGGACUGAGACACGGCCCAGACUCCUACGGGAGGCAGCAGUGGGGAAUAUUGCACAAUGGGGGAAACCCUGAUGCAGCAACGCCGCGUGAGUGAUGACGGUCUUCGGAUUGUAAAGCUCUGUCUUCAGGGACGAUAAUGACGGUACCUGAGGAGGAAGCCACGGCUAACUACGUGCCAGCCGCCGCUGUAA